GUUGAACAGAAGCUGUUGGGAGUAUUUGGGUUCUCAGCUUUGUUACCUUUUCUUACAGAGACUGAAGCAUUGCAAUCCUGUCCUCUGUGCUCUUUCUAGGCAUGUGAAUUGGUGUCUCUCAGGUAACAGUAAAUGCUCCUGGUGACACAGUAGGAGCAGUAAAUAUUCUGAGA
rnacentral:lncRNA from 1 species